CUGCUGACUGAGAGGCUUGAUCAGUGGAUCCACUACAUUCUGCAUGGAGUCGAUUCUCUGUACCUCAACAAACUUCUUCUCGAGGUAUUUGCGUAUGAUGUGGAACCACUGCUCUAUAUACUUAAAUUUUUAAUGAGACCUAGGCUCUUUAGAGAGGGCUAUGGUGUCGUUGUUGUUGCAGUGCAAUGCAUGGCAUCUAAUGGCAUCAUACCCAUCUCCAUAACAA
rnacentral:lncRNA from 1 species